GAUGAAGAACGUAGCGAAAUGCGAUAAGUAAUGUGAAUUGCAGAAUCCAGUGAAUCAUCGAAUCUUUGAACGCACAUUGCGCCCCCUGGUAUUCCGGGGGGCAUGCCUGUCCGAGCGUCAUUGCUGCCCUCAAGCACGGCUUGUGUGUUGGGCCUCCGUCCUCCUCCCGGGGGACGGGCCCGAAAGGCAGCGGCGGCACCGCGUCCGGUCCUCGAGCGUAUGGGGCUUCGUCACCCGCUCUUGUAGGCCCGGCCGGCGCUUGCCGACACAUCAAUCUUUUUUCCAGGUUGACCUCGGAUCAGGUAGGGAUACCCGCUGAACUUAAGCAUAUCAAUAAGCGGAGGA
rnacentral:misc_RNA from 1 species